rnacentral:rRNA from 1 species
GACGAAACGCUGGCGGCGCGCCUAACACAUGCAAGUCGAACGAGCGAGAGAGAGCUUGCUUUCUCGAGCGAGUGGCGAACGGGUGAGUAAACGCGUGAGGAACCUGCCUCAAAAGAGGGGGACAACAGUUGGAAACGACUGCUAAUACCGCAUAAAGCCCACAGCUCGGCAUCGAGCAGAGGGAAAAGGAGCAAUCCGCUUUGAGAUGGCCUCGCGUCCGAUUAGCUAGUUGGUGAGGUAACGGCCCACCAAGGCGACGAUCGGUAGCCGGACUGAGAGGUUGAACGGCCACAUUGGGACUGAGACACGGCCCAGACUCCUACGGGAGGCAGCAGUGGGGAAUAUUGCACAAAUGGGGGAAACCCUGAUGCAGCGACGCCGCGUGGAGGAAAGAAAGGUCUUCGGAUUGUAAAACUCCUGUUGUUGAGGAAGAUAAUGACGGUACUCAACAAGGAAGUGACGGCUAACUACGUGCCAGCAGCCGCAGUAAG